rnacentral:ncRNA from 1 species
CGACCCCAGCUCAGGCGAGAACACCUGUUGAGUUUAAGCAUAUAAUUAAGCGGAGGAAAAGAAACUUACAAGGAUUCCCCUAGUAACGACGAGCGAACCGGGAAGAGCACAGCAUGAAAAUCGGGUGGCAGCGUCGCCUGAAUUGUAGUUUGUAGAAGCAUCCUUAGCGGCAGACAGGGCCCAAGUCCCCUGGAAGGGGGCGCCUGAGAGGGUGACAGCCCCGUCGAGCCUGGACCCUGCCGCACCACAAGGCGUUGUCGGCGAGUCAGGUUGUUUGGGAAUGCAACCCUAAUCGGGUGGUAAAUUUCGUCCAAUGCUAAAUACGGGCGAGAGAUCGAUAGCGAACAAGUACCGUGAGGGAAAGAUGAAAAGGACUUUGAAAAGAGAGUUAAAGAGUGCUUGAAAUUGUCGGGAGGGAAGCGGAUGGAGGCCGGCGAUGCGUCUCGGUCGGAUACGGAACGACUCAAGCUGGUCCACCGCUCGAAUCGAGGUGCGAACCAGCACAGGCCAUUGCAUCGGCACAAGCACGGGUGGAGUACUGCCUGUUGGUUUUCCAUUGUGGCAGUCAAGGAACGAAGCGUGCGCCCUUCGGGCGGGCCACUAUGCACCUGCACGCUCGUGGUGUUGGUUGGCGGGCUUUCCAUUCGACCCGUCUUCAAACAUGGACCAAGGAGUCUAACAUGUGUGCGAGUCGAUGGGUUUGUAAACUUGCGAGGUGUAAGGAAGCUGACGGGCGAGAACUCCUCUCCAUGUGGUGCAUUUUCGACCAACCUUGAGCUUGUGAGAAGGGUUCGAGUGUGAGCACACCUGUUGGGACCCGAAGGAUGGUGAACUAUGCCUGAGCAGGGCGAAGCCAGAGGAAACUCUGGUGGAGGCCCAUAGCGAUACUGACGUGAAAAUCGUUCAUCUGAAUUGGGUAUAGGGGAGAAAGACUAAUCGAACCAUCUAGUAGCUGGUUUCCUCCGAAGUUUCCCUCAGGAUAGCUGGAUCUCACGUGCGAGUUUUAUUGGGUAAAGCAAAUGAUUAGAGGCAUCGGGGGCGUAACGCCAUCGACCUAUUCUCAAAAUUUAAAUAGGUAAGACGGUGCGGCUGCUCCAUUGAGUCGUGCCACGGAAUCAAGAGCUCCAAGUGGGCCAUUUUUGGUAAGCAGAACUAGCGAUGCAGGAUGAACCGAAAGUCGAGUUACGGUGCCAAACUGCGCGUUAACCCAGAACCCACAAAGGAUGUUGGUUUAUUAAUACAGCAGGACGGUGGUCAUGGAAGUCGAAAUCCGCUAAGGAGUGUGUAACAACUCACUUGCCGAAUCAACUAGCCCCGAAAAUGGAUGGCGCUGAAGCGCGCGACCUGUACUCAACCGUCGGAGCAAUUACUAGGCUUCGAUGAGUAGGAGGACGCGGUGGUCAUUGAGAAACCUUGGGCAUGAGCUUGGGUGGACUGGUCCCCAGUGCAAAUCUUGGUUGUAGUAGCAAAUAUUCAAAUGAGAACUUUGAAGACUGAAGUGGGGAAAGGUUCCAUGUGAACAACACUUGGACAUGGGUUAGUUGAUCCUAAGAGAUGGGGAAGCCCUGUAUCAAGGGUGCACUAUGCACAAACAUCGAAAGGGAAUUGGGUUAAUAUUCCCGAACCGGGACAUGGCGACGGAAGACAAUGUUAGGAAAUCCGGAGACGUCGUCGGGGGCCCCGGGAAGAGUUAUCUUU